rnacentral:rRNA from 1 species
UACGUAGGGGGCAAGCGUUGUCCGGAAUUAUUGGGCGUAAAGAGCGCGUAGGCGGUUCGUCGCGUCGGCUGUGAAAUCCCGAGGCUCAACCUCGGGUCUGCAGUCGAUACGGGCGGACUGGAGUUCGGCAGGGGAGACUGGAAUUCCUGGUGUAGCGGUGAAAUGCGCAGAUAUCAGGAGGAACACCGGUGGCGAAGGCGGGUCUCUGGGCCGAUACUGACGCUGAGGAGCGAAAGCGUGGGGAGCGAACAGG